UAUUAGUACUGUGGAAUUCAGUUCCAUGUUUUACAGUAGCCAGACAGUGGGAGUAGUAUGCCAUGUGAACUAUGUAAUGCCAGCAUACUUCUGAGUAAAGUUAAACUAAAGUAUACAAAUGCCCCAAUCUCAGUUCUUAUCAACAUAAGCAAUCUAAACAGUGGGACGUUACAAUUGGCAACGAGUGAAACGCACAAGUGAAGAAGGCAAUUUACAAGACAAACUACGUGCCUACUGCAUACUCCUCUGUAGGUUAGUAAUCCCCACCUGGAUAGAGAGAGUGUCACUCCAGGGCUUGCUAAAGUAAUGACUGUCCUCCACAGAUGCUGCGUGGUGAGCAGGUGUCUGAGUCUGCUACGUUCAAGUGCC